UUUAGAAGGAGAAUGGGCAGAAGUGAGAAGAGUUUUGAAAAGAAAUGAAUAGCUUGGUAGGUAAAUGCUUCAGACUGUUAGAGGUCAAGCUAUUUGAGGACAAAGGAAGCCUUAAGUUGGGCCCUUGAAAGGUGUUCUUUGCACUGUGAGCAGGGCAGUCAGAUGGAAACUGAGGACAAAGGGUGAGAAGUGAAUUGAAUUGAAUGGAAGAGGAGGGUGAAGCAGUGAGCAGUGAGGAAAUCAGCAAGGGGGAGACACCUACUGUCUACCAGAGGAGGAAGAAAUCCAAGGAGAUUCUUUUUCUUAAGAUAGAAAAGAGAUUCACCAUUUUGUUUAUAUAUAAAGGCUGAGGGGAAGGAGCCACUGAAGGUGGUGAAGAUACAGCAGGAGAGACUACUGAGAGAAUAAUAUCUUGGAGGAUAUUGGAGGAAAUGGGGAGGGGCAUUGGAGGAAAAGAGAAGGGCCAAAGAAAGACCUCUCCUCCCCUGAACCCUGUUUCCAGGAUUUGGAGGCAGGUUUGAAACACUGGAUAAUACAAGCAAGAGGAAAUGUGAAGACAGAUCUAAAGGACUGGAAUGCAAGCUUCUGGAAGACAAGGAUCCUUCAUGUGACUUAGUGCUGCACAUGAGGAAGGAGAAUAUGAACUAUUCCAACUGAUCAAGCGCCAUAAACUUCAGGAAGAUGAGCGUAUGAAAGAGAAUUUCAUGCUUUUUAAAGAGAUUUUAUACAAGUAAUCACAUCAAUCUUACCUGGAGAAUCCUAUGAAUCAGUUAACAAAUGUUCUGUUACAAGUUUUUGCGUGUUUGAUGAACUAAGAAUGACUUACUUCUAUUGAUGAUUACUUUGAAAACAAAAAAAGAUACCACAAAUGGAAUUUACAUAUCUGAAACCAUGAAAAUCAUCAAAGCUUUUUUAUAGAAAAUAUUUGAAACUAAUGGUAUAGUACUACAAUUUUAUUUUGAACUUGUUUGAAGGAUUAAAAGAUGAGGGACUGUAGUACCAAGAUGUAUUUC